UACGUAGGGUGCAAGCGUUGUCCGGAAUUAUUGGGCGUAAAGAGCUCGUAGGCGGUCUGUCGCGUCUGCUGUGAAAUCCCGGGGCUCAACCCCGGGCUUGCAGUGGAUACGGGCAGACUAGAGUUCGGUAGGGGAGACUGGAAUUCCUGGUGUAGCGGUGAAAUGCGCAGAUAUCAGGAGGAACACCGGUGGCGAAGGCGGGUCUCUGGGACGAUACUGACGCUGAGGAGCGAAAGCGUGGGGAGCGAACAGG
rnacentral:rRNA from 1 species